UGAACUUCACUGAACUAGAUAUGGGCAAAGAACAGAUGACAGGAAGAAGUUACUAAUACAUAAAAACGGGGAAAACAGUCCUUAGGACAUCCAGGGGCAUCACUUGAGGCAAUUCAGCAUAGCUGUGAAAUCUUCUGGGGAGAACAACAGGGUACGCAGUAAGCCAAUAUACAUGAUCAGUGUGAGCACAAUCUUUCUUUAUUUUUUUGUAUCAAAGUGUCUGAAAAUGGAUGAAAAGAGGCAGAACCACAGGCAUUAAGUUGUCUUGAAUUCAGGCAUUGUGAUUGCAACCCAGAAGAAUUUCUUGUAGUCUUCGUGGGAAAACUAUCACAGGAAGAAGAAAAAGCAAUGUCGAGUGAGAUGGAUGGUGGAAGGGAUAUAGUGUAUUAUCAGCUUGAUGUGCGAUUGGAGAAACCGAAGGGGUCACUUCUUAGUGCAAAGUCAGAUGAAGGGGCAUCCCGCCUAAACAGCACGCAACUACUGGAUGUCUGUUCUGCACCAGAUGAACUCUUGCUGCAUAUAGAUAAAAAAGCUAGAACACUUUUAUGGUCAAAGAAGUUAACCAGGCUCUCUUCAAAGUAGUCAUUUCAAAGCUUCUGCUGAAUUUUUGGACAUGUAAAGGGAAACCCUGACCUGAGUUGACAGCAAUGGCAAUGAUGAUAAAGGAGGAAUGAGCUACAUGGAAUCACUGAAUCUCAUAGUGGUUAAGGACAAGAAAUCAUCAUCAUCAUCAUCAUCAAAGAUGUUUUUGUUCCUCUGAUGCAAUACCAUUUUCAUCUCCUCCAAGACUUUCAGUCACAUGGAAACCUUUUUUUGGUGAAGGUAUCGGACUGUUCACAGGAUGCAGCAUAGGAAUUCUAGCCAAUUUCUUCUGACUGUCAAGGGGCAACUGACAAUUGUGUGACAUAUGCAUUAUUUUAUUUAAUCUUCAAGAACCCUGCAGAGAUGAUGAAAUUGAAGUUUAAGCCUUGGCCUCCCAUUUUGAACACCUACAAUGACCACCUCUUCACGUUAUAUGAAAUUGAUGCGUGUGUAUUUGAGUUCUCCAUUAACUUCCUUUUAAUCAAUUGAUACCAAGUUCUUUGACGCCUGCCUAAAUAAAGUACAUUCAGCCUGCA